GAGAUAGAAAGUUACUUCGGUACAUCGGUGACAGGGUGGUGCAUGGUUGUCGUCAGCUCGUGUCGUGAGAUGUUGGGUUAAGUCCCGCAACGAGCGCAACCCUUACCCUUAGUUGCCAGCGGGUAAUGCCGGGCACUCUAAGGGGACCGCCCGGAUAACGGGGAGGAAGGCGGGAUGACGUCAAGUCAGCAUGGCCCUUAUGUCCAGGGCUACACACGUGCUACAAUGGGCGAUACAGAGGGAAGCAAGGCCGCAAGGUAGAGCUAAUCCCUAAAGUCGUCCUCAGUUCGGAUUGCAGGCUGCAACUCGCCUGCAUGAAGCCGGAGUUGCUAGUAACCGCAGGUCAGCAAUACUGCGGUGAAUACGUUCCCGGGUCUU
rnacentral:rRNA from 1 species